AUUGAACGCUGGCGGCAUGCCUUACACAUGCAAGUCGAACGGCAGCACGGGGCAACCUGGUGGCGAGUGGCGAACGGGUGAGUAAUGCAUCGGAGCGUACCUUUCAGUGGGGGAUAACGUAGCGAAAGUUACGCUAAUACCGCACAUUCUGUGAGCAGGAAAGCAGGGGAUCGCAAGACCUUGCGCUGAUUGAGCGGCCGAUGUCAGAUUAGCUAGUUGGUGAGGUAAAGGCUCACCAAGGCGACGAUCUGUAGCGGGCCUGAGAGGAUGAUCCGCCACACUGGAACUGAGACACGGUCCAGACUCCUACGGGAGGCAGCAGUGGGGAAUUUUGGACAAUGGGGGCAACCCUGAUCCAGCCAUGCCGCGUGAGUGAAGAAGGCCUUCGGGUUGUAAAGCUCUUUCGGCCGGGAAGAAAUCGCACGGGCUAAUACCCUGUGUGGAUGACGGUACCGGAAUAAGAAGCACCGGCUAACUACGUGCCAGCCGCCGCGGUAAUAC
rnacentral:rRNA from 1 species